rnacentral:rRNA from 1 species
GACGAACGCUGGCGGCGUGCUUAACACAUGCAAGUCGAACGGAAAGGCCCUGCUUUUGUGGGGUGCUCGAGGGGCGAACGGGUGAGUAACACGUGAGUAACCUGCCCUUGACUUUGGGAUAACUUCAGGAAACUGGGGCUAAUACCGGAUAGGAGCUCCUGCUGCAUGGUGGGGGUUGGAAAGUUUCGGCGGUUGGGGAUGGACUCGCGGCUUAUCAGCUUGGUGGUGGGGUAGUGGCAUACCAAGGCUUUGACGGGUAGCCGGCCUGAGAGGGUGACCGGCCCCGUUGGGUCUGAGAUACGGCCCAGACUCCUACGGGAGGCAGCGGUGGGGAAUAUUGCACAGUGGGCGGAAGCCUGAUGCAGCACCGCCGCGUGCGGGAUGACGGCCUUCGGGUUGUAAACCGCUUUCGCCUGUGCCGAAGCGUGAGUGACGGUAAUGGGUAAAGAAGCACCGGCUAACUACGUG